rnacentral:rRNA from 1 species
UGUGUAGGUGGCGUAUUAAGUCUGUUGUUAAAUCUCCCGGCCUAACCGGGAAAUCGCGGUGGAAACUAAUAUGCUAGAGGAUGAGAGAGAGGAGUGGAAUUCUCGGAGUAGCGGUAAAAUGCGUAGAUAUCGAGAGGAACACCGAUGGCGAAGGCAGCUCCUUGGCUCAUUUCUGACACUGAAACACGAAAGCGUGGGAGCAAACA